UCAAAUUAAAAGCAUUAACGUGUGCGGUAAGGGCGACUAACCGCGCAGUCCACGUGUCCCUGUUACUGUAUUGACGAGAGAGAGUUACGGCAGAUAACACCUUCCCGGGUUAAAGGCAGCGAUGGACCCUUUCCUUCCCUUCGAAGCAAGACAAAUAUCCCAGAUUCACGCGCACCGCCCCAUCCUCUCUCCCCUUCUUUCCUCUCGGCUCGUCGUUUCGGUGUCGGCGGCUCUCGUCGAUGAGCACGGCGGCGGCGCUUUGAGAGCCACGUGGGAGACAUCGAGGCGGAGGAAGACGGGUGGGAGGUUGGAUCCGGUCAUGGUGGCGUCGGAGCUUGGUGGACAAGCGGUGGCGUGUUGCUGGGUUGGCCGGUCGGUGUCGCGCGGAUCCGAUUCGAAUAGGUUGUUGGCGACGUGCUGUGGGAGCAGGACAAUGGGAUUUGCUCCGGACGGUCCUUGGGACGCUUGUGCGGCAGAAUAGCGGCUGCAGCGGCACGGCCGCGGGGAGCUGCGUCGACACAAACUACGGUGGCCUCCUCUGCAUCCUCCCUCCCCGAGCGCGUCCAGUUUUAUCCGCUCCCUUCCCAUCUAGGCCCUCUUCCCUGCGAGGUAGUCCUCUCUCGCCGAGUUUUAAGAUGAUGGCAUGUCUUUAGUCUCAUGACGAAAAUAAAAUGAAGGGGGGAAAACUGUUUGGAGGAGGGAAUGCAAUGGUUGACAAUAGGCGAACUGGAGGAUCGAGCAGUGUGGAGAGUUAGGACAACGCUGCAGCAUUGGUCUACCUGCCAUCGCUGUUGUGUUCUGAUGCAGAGGAGGUCAUGCAGCUGGUAUAGAAUGGGUAUAAUAUCUCCAUUUUUCUCUAUAUAUUUCUUGAUGGUUAAUUUGUUGAUUGGUAUUAUUUCGGUUGUGCAUGAUUAGUUUCUCCACAAGUGCACUUUCUAGAAUGACCGCACACAACUACUCUGAUAAAUCAUUGUUUUCACUGUACUCUUUUUCAUAUGCAUAUUCUUGACAACAAGAUGACAUUGUGAUAUCAACUAAUCUCGAAUUUCUGCUUCAUACAAUUGCUCCUGAACAUGACCAACAGUGAAAGGACAACCUCUGUGUGAUUGAAUAGUUAACUUGGCUUUUAAAAUGCAAACAAAAUUUUGUAGGGCUAAUUUUAACUCUCAGAUAAAAGGGAGGUUCCACACGUUCCAGUCCCCAUCCUCGUAUCAUUGAUUCCCCUUGACCGUGAGAGGGAAAGGGUUGUUUAAAUAAGAACUACUUUUCAGUUUCCAUGUUUUGUUCUAUUGGUCCCCUUUUUUAUUUUCAGUUGUGGAGAUUUUAAUUAUAGAUCUAAGGAUUCAGGUUUGUUCCCAGCCUUUUGCUUGUAGUUUCUGUUGAACUAUCACUACUCUUAUUGUUUCAGUAACAUGAUUACAUAGUAAUCCAAUUUAUUCUUAUUUUCAACUCGCCAUAGGAAUCAAAGUGGUAGUAGCAGUUUCUGUUGAACAAUUACUAUUAUUUUAUUGUGUCAUAUACCUAAAUUUAUUCUUAGAGAAAACUUGGCAUGCAAACUGCAUGUGCUUAUGUACUGUUUCAGUAACAUGAUUACAUAGUAAUCCAAUUAAUAUGUAAGAGCCAAUAGGAAGCAUGACACUGUAGCUCUGUACUACUAUUUCAGUUACAUGAUUCUAUAUAGCUAAAAAAUUGUUACGCAAAUCUAUAAUUGUUGCUGGAGAAUGUAGCUUGCACUGAGUUUCUAUAAAACUGCAGUACAAGCUAAAGGUCUGCGAUCUCUGCAUCACAAUCUGCACUGACAGAAGAUGGAAGGAACAAAGGUACAAAUUCAAGUAUGUAUCUGCCAAACUUGAUAGGUUUAACUCUAGGAAUUUCAUUACUAUUGCCAUGGUGUACUAUUCUUUAAAGAAUUUGUAGGAUGUAGAAAAUAUGACUCGAUGAGGGAUCCGUUGGUUUAAAAAGACGUGGUAUGGAUAAGUUUCCUCUUUUCAUGUUCACUAGCCCCUUCUUAUUUAUAGUUCUGUAUCAUUUUUAUAUUUGGAUGCUUUAUUCAAAUGAAGAUGAGGUGGAUAGACAUGUACCUUUCUAUGAAAGAUAUGGCAAUCAGAAUGUUGUAGUUCUAAAAACAUCUUAUUGAUAUGUUCCUUCUAUAAUUUUGAUCGUAGUUAUUGUUAAGUAAGUGUGUGUUUCAUAUAGCCUAGCAUCUGCAAUUUCCUGCCAUGAAAUGAAUUUGUAUGGCAUUUGUUAGUGCACUAUCAUGGUUGCUCUAUGCUAGGCAGCAACAAGAACUCGUCCAUGCUAAGGCAGCUCCAUGCUUUGUAACCAAUCAUACAUUUAUAUUGGCUUGCUAACCUUCAUGGUCUGCUAUCUUGUAAUUUUAGGGACAACUUUCUAAGGUGUGAGCCAACUAUAUUUUCUUCCUAAGUGUUCAUAUAUUUUAUCAAACCAUAUGUAUUUAUUUUCUCUCCAUAUUUUAAUCCUAUAUAAAAGUACAUCCGUUCAUUAUUCGUUUUCUAUUACCUAUGAUAGUUGCAACUAAAAAGAAAUAAAAAUUGUCAAGAGGAUGUUGUAGUUCAACUAUUCAAACUUUAUGUUGCGGUUCUAUGAUUAUAUCCGAGUCUUUUGCUUUCUGUCAAACUACACUGCAAAUUAAUGUCUGGACAAGUGAAUCUCCGAAGAAUAUUCAAUUUUAUUUUAGUUAGGAGGCCCUGCAGUUUGCGGGUUACACAAUGCUACUUUAUCGACAGUCUUACUAGAAGCAUUUUAUUUCCUCCUAAUAGGAACAUUUCGACUUUAUCAAUAUCAAAUUCUACGUUGACUGUGGUUCUCUCUUCUACUGCCACAGCCCUCGACGGCAUCAUUUGCUGUACAUGUUUGAUUACAUAGGCAAAAGAAGAGAAACUGACAGAUAGGUUAAGGGACCAAAUGAAACAAUCUCAAUUUGACAACAUCACGCCACGAACUAGGGGAAGGAGGGGUGGGAUUGGACUUGGAGGGUUAUACGCUUAUGAAAUGGAGGACGUGGUGGAGAGCAAGCAAAGGUGGCAGUCGUCGAUGCCGUUGUCACCGGCAAGUCCAUCAGUGUGGCCUUCAUGUUUACGUGCUAGCAAGUGUGGGUAAAGAUUGAGAAGAUUUGAGCCCUCUGACAGUUUGGCUUUGUGAUUUGUAGUUCUUAAACUCAAUUACAGAAUCAAAAUUUUAGGCCUACAUUUAAUAAAUCCGGGUGUUGUAAAGUCCAGAUUCAAAAUUAAGUCCAUUGAUUUGAGAAAAAAAUACAGAGAAGAAAGUGAAAGGGGCGCA